rnacentral:rRNA from 1 species
CAAUACUGACACUGAGGAGCGAAAGCGUGGGGAGCGAACAGGAUUAGAUAGCCUGGUAGUCCACGCCGUAAACGGUGGGCGCUAGUUGUGCGAACCUUCCACGGUUUGUGCGACGCAGCUAACGCAUUAAGCGCCCCGCCUGGGGAGUACGAUCGCAAGAUUAAAACUCAAAGGAAUUGACGGGGCCCCGCACAAGCAGCGGAGCAUGCGGCUUAAUUCGACGCAACGCGAAGAACCUUACCAAGGCUUGACAUAUACAGGAAUAUGGCAGAGAUGUCAUAGCCGCAAGGUCUGUAUACAGGUGGUGCGUGGUUGUCGUCAGCUCGUGUCGUGAGAUGUUGGGUUAAGUCCCGCAACGAGCGCAACCCUCGUUCUGUGUUGCCAGCAUUAAGUUGGGGACUCACAGGAGACUGCCGGGGUUAACUCGGAGGAAGGUGGGGAUGACGUCAAAUCAUCAUGCCCCUUAUGUCUUGGGCUGCACGCAUGCUACAAUGGCUGGUACAAACGGCUGCGAUACCGCAAGGUGGAGCGAAUCCGAUAAAGCCAGUCUCAGUUCGGAUCGGGGUCUGCAACUCGACCCCAUGAAGUCGGAGUUGCUAGUAAUCGUAGAUCAGCAACGCUACGGUGAAUACGUUCCCGGGGCUUGUACACACCGCCCGUCACAUCACGAAAGUCGGUAACACCCAAAAGUCAGUGGCCCAACC